AGUUGGAUGGAAACAGUCAUGUGAUAUAUGCAGAAGAAGAAGCAGCUGGAACUCGUCUUCUUAUUGAUGGAAGGACUUGCUUGCUGCAGAAUGAUCACGAUCCUUCAAAGUUAGUGGCAGAAACCUCUUCUUUCAUGACCUUAUUUCUGGACUUGAUAAUGGAAUCUGUUACUUUUAUUUUGUUACAGUUGGAUGGAAACAGUCAUGUGAUAUAUGCAGAAGAAGAAGCAGCUGGAACUCGUCUUCUUAUUGAUGGAAGGACUUGCUUGCUGCAGAAUGAUCACGAUCCUUCAAAGUUAGUGGCAGAAACGCCAUGCAAGCUGCUGAGGUUUUUGGUUUUGGAUGGUAGUCAUAUUGAAGCUGAUACUCCAUAUGCGGAGGUUGAAGUUAUGAAGAUGUGCAUGCCUCUCCUUUCACCUGCUUCUGGAGUUCUUCAGUUUAAAAUGUCUGAAGGUCAAGCAAUGCAGGUAUAUCAAAUUUCACAGGAUAUAUAUAUACUUACAGAGUUUUAGUAUGAAGUUAAAGAAUCUGUUUUCCUCUUAGGCUGGUGAGCUUAUAGCACGGCUUGACCUUGAUGAUCCUUCGGCUGUACGAAAGGCUGAACUUUUUC
rnacentral:lncRNA from 1 species